UACGUAGGUGGCAAGCGUUGUCCGGAUUUACUGGGCGUAAAGAGCGCGCAGGCGGUCGUUCAAGUCGCGUGUGAAAGCCCCCGGCUCAACUGGGGAGGGUCACGCGAUACUGAUCGACUCGAAGGCAGGAGAGGGUAGAGGGAAUUCCCGGUGUAGCGGUGAAAUGCGUAGAGAUCGGGAAGAACAUCGGUGGCGAAGGCGCUCUACUGGACCACAACUGACACUCAGGGACGAAAGCUAGGGGAGCGAAUGGG
rnacentral:rRNA from 1 species